GGAAUAUGGAAAGUUCAGGUGAAGAUAAAACAUCUUGAAGAAAUUCUUUUCUACAUGAACAAAUCCCCAAACUUUUUUUUUUUUUUGAGNNNNNNNNNNUUUUUUUUGAGAUGGAGUCUCACUCUUUUGCCCAGGCUGGACUGCAGUGGUGCUAUCUCCGCUCACUGCAAGCUCCUCCUCCUGGGUUCAUGCCAUUCUCCUGCCUCAGCAUGGGUAGAAUUUUUUAAUUCAAGGUGAAAUGAGAGAGUAAAGAGAACUGCUUCUGACUUAUACAAGUGACUGAAAUUAUUCAAUAAACUAAUUUAUAAACAGAAAUGUUCUCUAAUAUAUUCUCUAACUUUGAGAAAAUAGUGGCAUAAGAUCCACAACAUCAGUGUACACAUGACAUUUUUCUAAGUGAUAAAGUAUAAAAUUAAGGGCAUGAACACAAACAUACAUUUUUGAGGAUUUAGGUCCUGAAUAGGUGGAGUAGCAGUAGCAGAUGUUACCUGAACAUUUGUGAGCAGUUUACUAAGAGGAGGAAGGGGAAAGUGGAGAUUCUCAUGUCCACAUGUCUACUCAAUGCACACGUGUUACUCUGAUUUGGUUUCUUGGCUCCAUGGUCUCUUAAUCAGUUUC
rnacentral:lncRNA from 1 species